GCGCAAGACUCCUACCCUUCCUCUUCGGCGGCGCUGCGCUGGGCGCCGUGACCAAUCACAGGCCACGUCGUGCCGCCGCAGCCAAUCGGGAAAGCCGGGCACUAAGACGAGCCUUUGACGGCCCCUCCCUCUGGGCUUGAGGGCGCUUCGUGGGUUUGGUGUUUGUGGCCUCGUUUUCGUCCUGUGUCAGUUCCGGUGGUUACAUCCGAUACCAUCGGGUUCUUGUGAGGCCGAGCGUGAAGAUGCGGAGCGAAGAGGCGAGGGCGAAACCGAGGCGAAUCCAGGGGCACACGGAUAGGGCCCGGGCGCGAACGCAGAAGCGCCCGGAGGAGGAGGGGGAGAAGCGCAGCGCCCUGGAGAUGCGGAGACGGAAUCGGGCCCCCACGUCAGCGACCCCGGAGAGGCGGAGCGUCUCCCUGCGAUCCGUUAGGUAGUGGCUUGAUGUGGAGGUAGUGGAGGAGCUGCGGGUGUGCCUGGCCCGAGAUCGGGGACCCGGAGGAGCUCGAAUGACAGUGCGGUGGGGACACGUCGGCUUCACUUCAACGACCCCUUCUCCGGAGACCCUUCGCCCCUGUGGGGGGUGACGGAAGCCGGCAGGCGAGAGUGGUUGCAAACUUCCAGGCCGGGUUGCUCCUUUCCCCCUUUUCUUUGCUUAGUCCAGGUUCCAGCCAAGAAGUCUCUGACACGCAAAUAGAUAAUGUGUGUUUCUUCUAUAACAUCGUGUAUGUUCGUGAAAAAUACCGCCUGUUCAGAAAAAUCGUGCAUCUGAAAGAAGCCAUACUUACAGGGAAAAAAGGAAUUAACAUUCUUGGAGAUGUUGGAAAAACAUUCCUGGGCCUUGCAAGAUUAUUACUCCAUAUAUACAGGGAGGUAGCAUAUCGCGGAGAGUGGAGAGAUGUCAGUUUCUUGAUUCUCAUUUGGCAAGUCUCGGUUCCUUGAUGGCUCUUGGCUAAAGACUUCAGUUCUUCACCGUGUGAACAUAGGCUGCCUGAGUAUCCCCACAACGUGUCAGCUGGCUUCCACCAGAGGCAGUGAUCUAAGAGACAUGCCAAGACAACAUGUAGGUGGGCACAUACAGGGAUGUGAAUACCAAGGGUUGGGGAAUGUUGGGGAUCCUCCUGGAGGUUGACUGCUACACCUGACUUUUUUUUUUAAUUGCUUCAGUUUAUUGAGUCAAGAGUUUAGUAUUUGACCCUCAGGUCAGAUAAUUAGAAGUAUGAGAGUCUGGAUCCAAAUGAACGCUCUCUUUUCUAAGGUGCAUGGUUUCUUGCUGGUGAAUAUAUCAGUUCCAUAAAUGAUGCUAUAGUCCUUUUCGAAGUUUUCUAGGGAGUGUAUAAGAAAGCUCAUUUUAUAGCUAGAAUACUCUACCUUGAUCAUAUAUAUUUUUUGGACCCAUUUCCCCUUUCCCGGUUCUUCUAGGUGGAGGUGGUUGGAGAAGCUGGAGGUAGACUGUAUAUAGAAGUACCUGUGCUAUUUUGCUUGCGGUGCACACUGACUUGGUGGAAAUUCGUGUUUCAAGUUUUUCAAGGAAUGUAGUCCACAAAUACUUAAAGGCACUUAUUCAAAUAUUUGACAUAGGCUGGAAUGAAGGUACAAAUAUGCUACAGCAGCUUUAAAGCAAUUUGUCCUUUUCCUCAAAAGCUAGAUAUUUAUCCACUAUGGUGAGUAUGCUUUUCUUUCUUUUCUAAGUAGGCUCCACGCUGGGCCUUGAUCCCAGGACCUUGAGAUCAAGACCUGAGCUGAGAGAUCAAGAGUCAGACACUUAAACCGACUGAACUACCCAGGCGACCCAUACUUCCUUUCUUUCUGUUGCUCUGCUCCCUCCAUGGUCUUCUGUCCCUCUUAAUGAGCAAAAUAUGGACUUUACCAAGCAAUCAGAAUCCCCAUUAUUGGUGGAAUUCUAAUUAGGGCUCAAGAUUUUAAUCUUUUGAGCCUUUUCCCUUUAUCACUGCUUAAAAGUUGUUAGGAGGGACAGUUCUCCACCUUUUCCUUUAAAGCUCACAUGCUUCUAAUGAUUGGAGAUAUUGUCAAAUAACAAAAAGCAUUACAUAUAAAGAUGUAACCAGUUUUGGAAUGUAUUUGUAUUAAGCUAUGAUUAUCCUUUCCUUGGCAAGCUUAAUGUUGAGAAUAUAUUUCUGAGUUAGCAUAAGGUAAUCUAUGCAAAGUAGGUAAAUAACACCCUUGAAAUUAUCUUUGGUGUGAGUUUUUUUCCCAAUCAUAGUAAAAUUGGAGGUCUUAACCUGUAUGAGAAUUCAAAUUUAUAGAAAUGUGCAUUUAUUAUGUGUUCUUUAAAAGGGGCUAAAUCAUGAAAACCUUAUGAGUAAAGCUUAAGCUGAAAAUAGGAAAAAAAUACAAAUGUCCAAUGAUUAAACUUUUUCCACUGCUGUUCACAUCAUGAUUUGUUGUGAUUAAUGUAUGUGGAUGAGGACAUAAUGGAAAAAGAAAAUCGUAGUGGAGGAAGAAAAGUAUAGAUGGGAUGUAGUUUCUGUGUGUUGAAUUACUUAUUAAUGUUUUCCCUUUUAGGAGUGAAAUUGAAGGGUGUUUUUCUUAAUAUCAUUUUGUCAGAUUCAUCUGAUAAAUGUGAACAUUUAUAUAGAAGACCUAAAAGUUGAUGAAAAACUUGUUUAUUUGCCUUAAUGAAAAGAUGUACAAAAUAAGUGUAUUCAGAAACAAAACUAAAACCUUAAUGAGAUGGAUGCUGUUACAGGAGUAAACAUGGUGUCUGCUGAAUGGUACGGAGUAAGUUGUAAACACACACAGUCUGGUGCCUAUGAUGACUGUAAAGUUACACAGUCUGGACAACAGUAGAUUUGUCCAGAACUUUACUCUUUUGCAAACUUCAACAUUAUUGAAAUGAGGGAGGGGGCCUAAAUUCUCAAAAGGAUGUCUUUGGACUGUCUGCAAACACUAAUAUGAAGAUUUAUAUAUUACAUUGUCUCCAAACAUUUUUCUAGCUCCAGUGAGUAAUUCAGUCUGGAACUAACAUUCCUUUGUGAAAACCUUCAGUUUUUUAUUUUGAUCUAGGGUUAUGUUUGGCUAAUAGUUAAAUUGGUUUAAAAGUUGACUAUUUUGUGAACUAAUAAGUUUUUCUUUUUAGAUACAGGUCGUCUACUUUGCACCAUUCCAAUAUACAUGAAGAUCAGUUUUUACAGUUAAGUAACACCAUUUCCCCUACAACAUGGUUGAAAUUUCAGUUACUACAAAAAUAACCAAAUUGUUGCAUAAGCUUUUCUGAAGCUCUUUAUUCCACAAAUGAUUAUAUAUAUAAAAGAUGGUCAGUAACCACUUAUAAUCACUUCUUUCAGAAGUAUGUUGGUCAGUGAUCAUUGAUCACUGAACAUCUAUCAGUUCGAAAGCAUGUAGGUGUGUUGCCUGUUUCCCAGUGAUAAACUCCCCAACAUUUUACAAAAAUGGAUCAUCAAAAGAGGGAAUUGGUCAACAAAGAUGACAGGGCAGCAAAGAGACAAAAAUUGGUAACACUGGAAGUGACAUUGGACGUCAUUAGAAGAUUGGAAAAUGGUGACAGCAGAGCAAAGAAGAGACCUGGGCUGACAUGAGCCUGUAGUACGAACCAAUUUUUAACAGUUCAGUGAAACAAGAACUUUUAGGUAGAGUUGCUUCAACAUGUUUUAGCUUAAAUUGUACUAGGAACAGAAAGCCAUGUAUGGUCGAAAUGGAGUGUUUACUUCUACUUUCAACUGAGGGCUCUAAUAAACAAUCCCAAGCACUUUGGCUAGCAUUCAAGCCAAAGUGUUGAGGUUAGUUGCUGCACUGAAGGAAAAUGGUAGCUAAAAGGAGACUGAAAAAAACA